GAUGAACGCUGGCGGCGUGCCUAAUACAUGCAAGUCGAGCGAACGGACGAGAAGCUUGCUUUUCUGAUGUUAGCGGCGGACGGGUGAGUAACACGUGGAUAACCUACCUAUAAGACUGGGAUAACUUCGGGAAACCGGAGCUAAUACCGGAUAAUAUUUUGAACCGCAUGGUUCAAAAGUGAAAGACGGUCUUGCUGUCACUUAUAGAUGGAUCCGCGCUGCAUUAGCUAGUAGGUAAGGUAACGGCUUACCAAGGCAACGAUGCAUAGCCGACCUGAGAGGGUGAUCGGCCACACUGGAACUGAGACACGGUCCAGACUCCUACGGGAGGCAGCAGUAGGGAAUCUUCCGCAAUGGGCGAAAGCCUGACGGAGCAACGCCGCGUGAGUGAUGAAGGUCUUCGGAUCGUAAAACUCUGUUAUUAGGGAAGAACAUAUGUGUAAGUAACUGUGCACAUCUUGACGGUACCUAAUCAGAAAGCCACGGCUAACUACGUGCCAGCAGCCGCGGUAAUACGUAGGUGGCAAGCGUUAUCCGGAAUUAUUGGGCGUAAAGCGCGCGUAGGCGGUUUUUUAGUCUGAUGUGAAAGCCCACGGCUCAACCGUGGAGGGUCAUUGGAAACUGGAAAACUUGAGUGCAGAAGAGGAAAGUGGAAUUCCAUGUGUAGCGGUGAAAUGCGCAGAGAUGUGGAGGAACACCAGUGGCGAAGGCGACUUUCUGGUCUGUAACUGACGCUGAUGUGCGAAAGCGUGGGGAUCAAACAGGAUUAGAUACCCUGGUAGUCCACGCCGUAAACGAUGAGUGCUAAGUGUUAGGGGGUUUCCGCCCCUUAGUGCUGCAGCUAACGCAUUAAGCACUCCGCCUGGGGAGUACGACCGCAAGGUUGAAACUCAAAGGAAUUGACGGGGGCCCGCACAAGCGGUGGAGCAUGUGGUUUAAUUCGAAGCAACGCGAAGAACCUUACCAAAUCUUGACAUCCUUUGACAACUCUAGAGAUAGAGCCUUCCCCUUCGGGGGACAAAGUGACAGGUGGUGCAUGGUUGUCGUCAGCUCGUGUCGUGAGAUGUUGGGUUAAGUCCCGCAACGAGCGCAACCCUUAAGCUUAGUUGCCAUCAUUAAGUUGGGCACUCUAAGUUGACUGCCGGUGACAAACCGGAGGAAGGUGGGGAUGACGUCAAAUCAUCAUGCCCCUUAUGAUUUGGGCUACACACGUGCUACAAUGGACAAUACAAAGGGCAGCGAAACCGCGAGGUCAAGCAAAUCCCAUAAAGUUGUUCUCAGUUCGGAUUGUAGUCUGCAACUCGACUACAUGAAGCUGGAAUCGCUAGUAAUCGUAGAUCAGCAUGCUACGGUGAAUACGUUCCCGGGUCU
rnacentral:rRNA from 1 species